UGGGGAAUAUUGGACAAUGGGCGAAAGCCUGAUCCAGCCAUGCCGCGUGUGUGAAGAAGGUCUUCGGAUUGUAAAGCACAUUAAGUUGGGAGGAAGGGCAUUAACCUAAUACGUUAGUGUUUUGACGUUACCGACAGAAUAAGCACCGGCUAACUCUGUGCCAGCAGCCGCGGUAAUACAGAGGGUGCAAGCGUUAAUCGGAAUUACUGGGCGUAAAGCGCGCGUAGGUGGUUUGGUAAGUUGGAUGUGAAAUCCCCGGGCUCAACCUGGGAACUGCAUUCAAAACUGACUGACUAGAGUAUGGUAGAGGGUGGUGGAAUUUCCUGUGUAGCGGUGAAAUGCGUAGAUAUAGGAAGGAACACCAGUGGCGAAGGCGACCACCUGGACUAAUACUGACACUGAGGUGCGAAAGCGUGGGGAGCAAACA
rnacentral:rRNA from 1 species